rnacentral:rRNA from 1 species
AUUGAACGCUGGCGGCAGGCCUAACACAUGCAAGUCGAGCGAGCGGCGGACGGGUGAGUAAUGUAUGGGGAUCUGCCCGAUAGAGGGGGAUAACUACUGGAAACGGUGGCUAAUACCGCAUACUAUCGGAUGAACCCAUAUGGGAUUAGCUAGUAGGUGGGGUAAAGGCUCACCUAGGCGACGAUCCCUAGCUGGUCUGAGAGGAUGAUCAGUCACACUGGGACUGAGACACGGCCCAGACUCCUACGGGAGGCAGCAGUGGGGAAUAUUGGACAAUGGGCGAAAGCCUGAUGCAGCCAUGCCGCGUGUGUGAAGAAGGCCUUCGGGUUGUAAAGUACUUUAAGCGGGGAGGCGUUACCAGCAGAAGAAGCACCGGCUAACUCCGUGCCAGCAGCCGCGGUAAUUC